rnacentral:RNase_P_RNA from 1 species
UAAGUAGGCCACCUUAUCGCGUCGAUAUCAAUCGAUGAGGAAAGUCCGGACACCAAAGUGUGACAUAGCGGGUAAUACCCGUCCGAUGUAAAUCGAGGAACAGUGCAACAGAAAGCAAGUACAGUUCGGCUGUAGUGAAAUCAGGUAAACUCUAUGUGGUGCAACGUCAUGUAAAUCAGCUUUUGAGGGUUACACGUCCAAUGUUGAAGGGUAGACGGUUUGAAUCAAUGAGUAAUUAUUGAUCUAGAUAAAUGAUAAGGGUCCGUUUCGGCGGAAACAGAAUCCGGCUUAUGGCCUGCUUUAAUU